UACGAUUGGGGCAAGUGUUAUUCAUCGUGAUUGGGCGUAAAGGGUGCGUAGACGGUUAAGUAAACCUUUAGUAAAAUCCCAUAUUCAAACUAUGGUAAACUAUAAGCUGAUUACUUUUCUUGAGUUGGUUUGUGAAAGUGGAACUUUCAGAGCAAAGGUUAAAAUCUGUUAAGAUUCUGAGGGGGCCACCAAAGCGAAGGCAACUUUCUAAACUCAAUAACUGACGUUGAGGCACGAAGGUAUGGGGAGCAAACAGG
rnacentral:rRNA from 1 species